rnacentral:rRNA from 1 species
UACGUAGGGGGCUAGCGUUGUCCGGAUUUAUUGGGCGUAAAGAGCGUGUAGGCGGCCAGGUAGGUCUGCUGUGAAAACUCGAGGCUCAACCUCGAGACGUCGGCGGAAACCAUCUGGCUAGAGUCCGGAAGAGGAGAGUGGAAUUCCUGGUGUAGCAGUGAAAUGCGUAGAGAUCAUGAGGAAGACCAGUGGCGAAGGCGGGUCUCUGGACAGUUCCUGACACUGAGACACGAAGGCCAGGGGAGCAAACGGG